GGACCUAGUGGAGCUUCUAGAUUAUUCCAACAAAUGGAUAGUUGUCGUCAAGGCUCCAGUGUACUGCAACUACACCUUGCUGCAGGGAAGUGGAAGGACCCUUUUCAUAACCCCCUACGAAGCCUGUGAUGUCCGGAUAGUGAAUGAGCACUACAUCCUGACCCUCCGCUACACAACUUCUGGACAACAAGCUUAUGUUCA